rnacentral:rRNA from 1 species
CAGCCGCCACGGGAAUACGUAGGUGGCAAGCGUUAUCCGGAAUUAUUGGGCGUAAAGCGCGCGUAGGCGGUUUUUUAAGUCUGAUGUGAAAGCCCACGGCUCAACCGUGGAGGGUCAUUGGAAACUGGAAAACUUGAGUGCAGAAGAGGAAAGUGGAAUUCCAUGUGUAGCGGUGAAAUGCGCAGAGAUAUGGAGGAACACCAGUGGCGAAGGCGACUUUCUGGUCUGUAACUGACGCUGAUGUGCGAAAGCGUGGGGAUCAAACAGGAUUAGAGACCCCGGUAGUCCCUGUCUCUUAUAC